CUGACCUGCACUCGAAUAAAACACACGUCCCCCCAAGACAGGCUCAUUUCCAGUUUUGACGUGCCUGCCGUCUGUCAAAGACCCGGUGGGUGCUUCCCGCCACCCGGAUUCAUCUGCCUCCAGGACGGAGGGGCCCGUUGGGCAAUCCAUCACGGAGCACACCUGGUCUGCCCAAAGGAGACAGCAGCAGUGUUUUGCUCUGGAUUUCACAUCCCCCCUCUCCUCCUGUCUGCACCCUGUCCUGGAUACAGAAUCACACAGCUCAUUGGAUGGAGAGAGCUAGGCUUCUACCCUGCCAGUGACUCCUGCCAGCAUUGACUUCAGUGAGGGUCCCUCUUGGUCCCCAAGAAUAAAUGGUGGCUCGGUCGGGCACAGGGCUCCUCUUGGGAGCAACAGU